GAAAGCCUUUGUGUGAGUAGUGUCCAGGGUUCCUUCCUUCUUUGCCUGUCUGUCUGAUCUGAUCUCAUUUUUUGCCUCAGGGAUUUCGCUGCUCUGCCUUGCCCUCAUCAUAUACCUCACUGGCUUCUGUUUUCUGGACUAUUAACUUGUUUUUGCCUCCUGACUAACCCUCCCUGCCUAACCCCUCGAUCUAUCAGCCUGUAUCUGCCUUCCCAUGCUAGACUUCGUUUCUGUACCUCGGACAAAGAUACAAGCUUCGCCCACGAAUCCUGCUGCCCUAGUCUGCUCUAACAACUCUGACCCAGUUCAUGUCCCCUUACCACCACAACCUGCUCAGUCAUCAGGUUUAUAACCCCGAGAAUCUGUGGGGUACUUUCCAGCUGUUACCCCAUCUAUACUGUGAGGAACCAGAACUCAGCUUCCUGAUUCCAUUACGGAUUCUGAGAAGAGGUUCCUGAGUCUGCUGUUGAUAGUUUCCUGAGAGACAACCUCCAGAGCUUUUAAUAAACUUUUAAAUCUUA